rnacentral:rRNA from 1 species
UAGGGAAUCUUCCACAAUGGACGCAAGUCUGAUGGAGCAACGGCCGCGUGAGUGAAGAAGGUUUUCGGACCGUAAAGCUCUGUUGUUGGUGAAGAAGGAUAGAGGUAGUAACUGGCCUUUAUUUGACGGUAAUCAACCAGAAAGUCACGGCUAACUACGUGCCAGCAGCCGCGGUAAUACGUAGGUGGCAAGCGUUGUCCGGAUUUAUUGGGCGUAAAGCGAGCGCAGGCGGAAGAAUAAGUCUGAUGUGAAGGCCCUCGGCUUAACCGAGGAAUUGCAUCGGAAACUGUUUUUCUUGAGUGCAGAAGAGGAGAGUAGAACUCCAUGUGUAGCGGUGGAAUGCGUAGAUAUAUGGAAGAAUACCAGUGGCGAAGGCGGCUCUCUGGUCUGCAACUGACGCUGAGGCUCGAAAGCAUGGGUAGCGAACAGGAUUAGAUACCCUGGUAGUCCAUGCCGUAAACGAUGAGUGCUAAGUGUUGGGAGGCUUCCGCCUCUCAGUGCUGCAGCUAACGCAUUAAGCACUCCGCCUGGGGGAGUACGACCGCAAGGUUGAAACUCUAAAUGAAUUGAC